AGAGUUUGAUCCUGGCUCAGGAUGAACGCUGGCGGCGUGCCUAACACAUGCAAGUCGAGCGAACCCCUCGGGGUGAGCGGCGGACGGGUGAGUAACGCGUGGGUAACCUGCCCUGUACACACGGAUAACAUACCGAAAGGUAUGCUAAUACGAGAUAAUAUGUAAUGAUCGCAUGGUCGAUACAUCAAAGCUCCGGCGGUACAGGAUGGACCCGCGUCUGAUUAGCUAGUUGGUGAGGUAAUGGCUCACC
rnacentral:rRNA from 1 species